GACGAACGCUGGCGGCGUGCUUAACACAUGCAAGUCGAACGGAAAGGCCCUGCUUUUGUGGGGUGCUCGAGUGGCGAGCGGGUGUGUAACACGUGAGUAACCUGCCCUUGACUUUGGGAUAACUUCAGGAAACUGGGGCUAAUACCGGAUAGGAGCUCCUGCUGCAUGGUGGGGGUUGGAAAGUUUCGGCGGUUGGGGAUGGACUCGCGGUUUAUCAGCUUGUUGGUGGGGUAGUGGCUUACCAAGGCUUUGACGGGUAGCCGGCCUGAGAGGGUGACCGGCCACAUGGGGACUGAGCUACGGCCCGGACUCCUACGGGAGGCAGCAGUGGGGAAUAUUGCACAAUGGGCGGAAGCCUGAUGCAGCAACGCCGCGUGCGGGAUGACGACCUUCGGGUUGUAGACCGCUUUCGCCUGUGACGAAGCGUGAGUGACGGUAAUGGGUAAAGAAGCACCGGCUAACUACGUG
rnacentral:rRNA from 1 species